UACGAAGGGGGCUAGCGUUGCUCGGAAUCACUGGCGUAAGGGCGCGUAGGCGGCGUUUUAAGUCGGGGUGAAAGCCUGUGGCUCAACCACAGAAUGGCCUUCGAUACUGGACGCUUGAGUAUGGUAGAGGUUGGUGGAACUGCGAGUGUAGAGGUGAAAUUCGUAGAUAUUCGCAAGAACACCGGUGGCGAAGGCGGCCAACUGGACCAUUACUGACGCUGAGGCGCGAAAGCGUGGGAGCAAACAGG
rnacentral:rRNA from 1 species